CAUAUUAAUUGCUAAGUAAUUUUCUAUUGCACCCAGAUUGUGUUUAAAUAUCGCUACUCUCCUAACUUUAAAAGCAAAGUUGAGGAUGGAAAAGCUAGAAUUUGUGCUGAUAAUUUCAAGGAUGAAGAUAUUCAAAGGGCCAAUAAAAAAAGUUGGAUUAAGUUUGGAGCAUCACCCACAAAAUGUUUGCCAAGAACAUCACAUGAAGUACCUUCCUGCCCACCAAGAAGAAUUGUUCCCAAAUAUUCAUCUAUAAAUGACUGUCCACCUUCAUCAUCUCAAUCUGCAAUUAUUAACUACAAUUCCAUUAAUGAAAUAAUUUCAGCUUUUGAAAGUAUCACCUUGAAAAACUGGAGAAUACAUCAAAUCAAUACAUGCAAAGCUCAUUCCACAUACUAUUCUAAUCACAAUUUACAUGCGACACCGGAAAUAAGCCUUCUAAUUUGCCAAUUUGACCAAAAACAAUUUUCCCUUUUCUUGUGCUUUUGUUGGAGUUUAUUCUUCCACAAUAUCAUCGGCACUAAGUUUGAGAGCAGUCCCAAUUUCAAUCCUACUUGAAAACUUAGUUGAUUUCACCCCGUGUUUGGGUUAUGAUAUUGUUUCCACAAAUAAGUCAAGGAUUCCCAGAAGUGUUCCAGAAAUAAAAGAUGAUGGCGGAAUUUCCUUGAAAUUAAGUUAUAUCAGCUCUCAAUGUGAAAUAGCGUAUUCUUAUGCUGGUACACGACCCGACAUCUGCUCCACUUGUAUGCGUCUCCAUGUGCAUGAUCAAGACAGUGAGAAGAGAAAACUCAGCCUUUUUACAACAUCUAUGAUAAAAGAUUAGAAAGGCUUGAGAAAGAAUUUUUAGUAUUACCUUGAUGAUUGGGAAGAAAAGGCAUACAGUCGGCCAUUAGUGGGAGAAGUUAAUCGCCAGAAAAUGCUGCUCAGUGAUGCCACGAAAAAUGGUUUGAGAAUGGCAUCUAUGGUUAUGGCUGCGAUUAUUCCUAUUGUUUUGGACAGUGGUGCGAGCUAUGUUUUUUUAACACGGCGCAUAAACCAAGACUCUAGAGCAGGGGUUCGCAACUACUUUUCAGCGCGACCCAAAAAUUCUUUUUCUAAUUUCUCGCAUUUAGUAAGCAUAAAAUUAGUUAUCGAUUUUAUGACUAUUAUUGACCCUAUCAAUUUUCUCGCAUAAAAUGAUAUGAAACUUGGCACUUAAAAUGAAUAAUAGCGUUUAUUAUGACUAAUGCGAAUUAUAAGCUCUGUGUUUCGAACACUACAUGUCAAUUCGAGGUUUAAUUUGGGAGACGGUAACUCGAAGAUCUUCUAGCCUUGUUCUGUAUUUGUUCUUUAUGUAUGAAAACGUCCUUUCACAGAAGUAGGUGGUUCCGAAUGGCAACAGAACAUUCAUUGCAUCAGUUAAUACCUCCGGAUAUUCCUUUGCAACUGAAAUCUAAAAUUCAACCACGACAGACUGUCUGAAUGGCAAAAGUAUCUGAGCGCUUCUGAAAUGUUCUGUCAAAAUUUGCACUUAUACUGAUUGGCAAAUGUCACCGCAGUAAAUAAGGAAG